AUCCAUCUGACGACUCCCAAAUAAGACGAAACGGUCGUCCUACAU
rfam:Schistosoma rodhaini strain Burundi genome assembly, scaffold: SROB_scaffold0000244